UACGAAAGGAGCAGGUGUUAUUCCAGAUUAACUGGGCGUAAAGGGCACGUAGGUGGUUUUGUUUUAUGUGUAUUUAUUUAAAAUUGUAAAGCAUAACUUUAUAACGUAUUACAGACAACAAAAACUAGAGUUAGGUAGAGGGUAGUAGAAUUUUCUAAUGUAAAAGGUGAAAAUUUGAUAAAAAUUAGAGAGAAUACCAAUGGCGUAAGCAACUAUCUGGUCCUUAACUGAUACUGAGGUGCGAAGGUAUGGGGAGCGAAUAGG
rnacentral:rRNA from 1 species